AUGGAAUCUUGAUUGACUGAGUGGCGGACGGGUGAGUAACGCGUGGGUAACCUGCCUCAUACAGGGGGAUAACAGUUAGAAAUGACUGCUAAUACCGCAUAAGCGCACAGCAUCGCAUGAUGCAGUGCGAAAAACUCCGGUGGUAUAAGAUGGACCCGCGUUGGAUUAGCUUGUUGGUGGGGUAACGGCCCACCAAGGCGACGAUCCAUAGCCGGCCUGAGAGGGUGAACGGCCACAUUGGGACUGAGACACGGCCCAGACUCC
rnacentral:rRNA from 1 species